UAUACCUAAGUGGUGCGGGCAAAGGAGCAACAUUCAUUUCACAGUUUUUUAAGUCUCCUUUAUAUACUUUGUCCCUAUCUACUAUCUAGCGAAACCACAGCCAAGGGAACGGGCUUGCAAAAAUCAGCGGGGAAAGAAGACCCUGUUGAGCUUGACUCUAGUCUGAGUUUGUGAAGAGACAUGAGAGUGUAGCAUAAGUGGGAGGCCGUGAACCCUCGCGGUUGUGUCGUGCCGUCAGUGAAAUACCACUACUUUCAUCGUUUCUUUACUUACUCGGUGAGCGGAAAGCGGACAUGAGUGUCCCCGCUUCUAGCACUA
rnacentral:ncRNA from 1 species